UGGGGUUGUAGCUCAGUGGUAGAGUGCUUGACUUGCCUAGCAUGUAUGAGGCCCUGGGUUCAAUCCCCAGUAUUAG
rnacentral:tRNA from 1 species